AUGGUUAACAAGAAAGCGAUGAGAUGUGACCAGCAAUAUGACAGAGCCUUCUAUGUUCUCAAGAGGCUCGUGGAAGAACUUGAUGCAAUACAUUCAGCAAAUCGAGCGGAUGCUGACGAAAGGAUGGCUGAAGAGGAUGCUGAAAUUGAAGAUGACCUUCAUUAUUAUGAAGCUGAAAUGCUCCAGACCGCUGCUCAAGCCAACCAAUGCAAGAAGGAUGUUGACCAAUUAAUGCAGCAGUGGCAGGAAGAGACGAUGAAACUACCACUGUACUCUGAAACAAUUGGUAGGAAGAAACUUUCUGCAGCAAAGAAAAGUGACAAGAGGGCUCAAAUAAAGGCACCAUCUGCAGAUAGAGUCGUCGUGCUCGAUGAGAACAGAGUGCCACUUGGACACAGGCAAUGUAGUGUGUGA
rnacentral:rRNA from 1 species